ensembl:snoRNA Gm24984 small nucleolar RNA SNORA17
GCUGCCCCCUAGAGGCGGUGCCAACAUGGCUGCUGUAUCAAUGUGCAUCAGUAGGUAGCAAAGAGGAGAGAGGCUACAUCUUUGCUCAGUGUUCGGACCUGUGAACAUCUGAAUGAUUAGUAGACUAGCCUU